rnacentral:misc_RNA from 1 species
AUGCUGCAUAAAGUUCAAAAUCUUGAGUAACCCAGCACAGUAGAACAUAAUUUUCAUCCCUUCUGAACUGAGUUUUGUGCGGUCCAAUUUCCUUGUCAUGCAUGGAUGCAUAAAGCUUCUGGUAAGCUCUAUACAACCUUUUCUGCUGUUGUCUAUUAUUUACUGGUGAUGAAAACUCCGACGAGACAUACUGGUCAAGAUAAAUACUUCGAUACAUAAAAUGCCAAAGUCCAGCAGGA